UGGGGAAUUUUGGACAAUGGGGGAAACCCUGAUCCAGCCAUCCCGCGUGUGCGAUGAAGGCCUUCGGGUUGUAAAGCACUUUUGGCAGGAAAGAAACGUCGCGGGUUAAUACCCCGCGAAACUGACGGUACCUGCAGAAUAAGCACCGGCUAACUACGUGCCAGCAGCCGCGGUAAUACGUAGGGUGCAAGCGUUAAUCGGAAUUACUGGGCGUAAAGCGUGCGCAGGCGGUUCGGAAAGAAAGAUGUGAAAUCCCAGAGCUUAACUUUGGAACUGCAUUUUUAACUACCGGGCUAGAGUGUGUCAGAGGGAGGUGGAAUUCCGCGUGUAGCAGUGAAAUGCGUAGAUAUGCGGAGGAACACCGAUGGCGAAGGCAGCCUCCUGGGAUAACACUGACGCUCAUGCACGAAAGCGUGGGGAGCAAACAGGAUUAGAUACCCUGGUAGUCCACGCCCUAAACGAUGUCAACUAGCUGUUGGGUCCUUCGGGGCCCUUGGUAGCGCAGCUAACGCGUGAAGUUGACCGCCUGGGGGAGUACGGUCGCAAGAUUAAAAC
rnacentral:rRNA from 1 species